rnacentral:rRNA from 1 species
CACUCCUACGGGAGGCAGCAGUGGGGAAUAUUGGACAAUGGGCGCAAGCCUGAUCCAGCCAUGCCGCGUGAGUGAUGAAGGCCCUAGGGUUGUAAAGCUCUUUCACCGGUGAAGAUAAUGACGGUAACCGGAGAAGAAGCCCCGGCUAACUUCGUGCCAGCAGCCGCGGUAAUACGAAGGGGGCUAGCGUUGUUCGGAUUUACUGGGCGUAAAGCGCACGUAGGCGGACUAUUAAUUCAGGGGUGAAAUCCCGGGGCUCAACCCCGGAACUGCCUUUGAUACUGGUAGUCUGGAGUUCGAGAGAGGUGAGUGGAAUUCCGAGUGUAGAGGUGAAAUUCGUAGAUAUUCGGAGGAACACCAGUGGCGAAGGCGGCUCACUGGCUCGAUACUGACGCUGAGGUGCGAAAGCGUGGGGAGCAAACAGGAUUAGAUACCCUUGUAGUCCCAUGA